rnacentral:rRNA from 1 species
GAUGAACGCUGGCGGCGUGCCUAAUACAUGCAAGUCGAACGAAACUUCUUUAUCACCGAGUGCUUGCACUCACCGAUAAAGAGUUGAGUGGCGAACGGGUGAGUAACACGUGGUCAACCUGCCCAAAAGAGGGGGAUAACACUCGGAAACAGGUGCUAAUACCGCAUAACCAUAGUUACCGCAUGGUAACUAUGUAAAAGGUGGCUAUACUACCGCUUUUGGAUGGGCCCGCGGCGCAUUAGCUAGUUGGUAGGGUAAAGGCUUACCAGGGCAAUGAUGCGUAGCCGAAUUGAGAGGUUGAUCGGCCACAUUGGAACUGAGACACGGCCCAGACUCCUACGGGAGGCAGCAGUAGGGAAUCUUCCACAAUGGGCGAAAGCCUGAUGGAGCAACGCCGCGUGGGUGAAGAAGGUCUUCGGAUCGUAAAACCCUGUUGUUAGAGAAGAAAGUGCGUGAGAGUAACUGUUCACGUUUCGACGGUAUCUAACCAGAAAGCCACUGCUAACUACGUG